rnacentral:rRNA from 1 species
UCCGUAGGUGAACCUGCGGAAGGAUCAUUCACACCAAUAUACUUUUAUAGUUGCUCACGCUUCUAUGAAAUUUGUCAUGUGUCAAACCACUGUAUAGUCUAUUCGUAGACUAUACAACUUUUUUCAUCAUAUAUUGUUUACAAUAUAUACCAAACAAACAAAAACUUUAUACCCUUAACGAUGGAUGCCUCGGCUUGUGAAGCGAUGAAGGACGCAGCAAAGUGCGAUAAGCACUGUGAAUUGCAGAAUCUCGCGAAUCAGUAGAAUUCUGAACGCAUUUUGCGUAAAGAGGGUCUCCCUCUUUACAGGUUAAUAUCAGCGUUGUUAUCCAUUUAAAUCAUUUUAUGUUUUACUCCUAAAAAGGUAAUUCAUGUAAUGGUGUGAAGUUAUCAUUUGGUGACUUCUGUUUGGUGUAAAAACUUUUCACACAUUGUGCGUUCAGUUUACAUUAUGUUAGAUGGUAUUCACGUACCGUUAAGAUAAUACAUAUACAUUCUUGAUAAGUGUUAGUAAUAACAUAAGAAUGGAUUGGGUCUAUUAUAACCUACUAAGGAAAUUAGGUAUGGUAAAUUUCCAAUUCUUAUUCUAUAGGUUA